rnacentral:ncRNA from 1 species
AUAAAAGCUAUGAAGAGAAAAAGUAAAAUGAUUAAUGUUUUUUCACAGAGAGCUUCGGUAGCUGAAAAGAAGCAAAAAACACUCAUUUGAACAAUGGUCUCAGAGCUUUGUACUGAACAUACUUUUUGUAUUAGUAGGAUACAACGAGUCUUGGCUCUCGUUAUCAAAGUCACAGUAUAAGAGUUAUAUUUUUAUUAAGUCACAGUAUAAGAGUUAUAUUUUUAUUUACUCCGUACUUGUUGAGGCUGUUGAGGCAAAUGGUGUGAGUCAUUUGCAAAAUAAGGUGGUAACACGUGGAAAAUCUAACCUCGUCCUUAAC